rnacentral:rRNA from 1 species
CACUCCUGCGGGAGGCAGCAGUGGGGAAUUUUGGACAAUGGGCGAAAGCCUGAUCCAGCCAUGCCGCGUGCAGGAUGAAGGCCUUCGGGUUGUAAACUGCUUUUGUACGGAACGAAACGGCCUUUUCUAAUAAAGAGGGCUAAUGACGGUACCGUAAGAAUAAGCACCGGCUAACUACGUGCCAGCAGCCGCGGUAAUACGUAGGGUGCAAGCGUUAAUCGGAAUUACUGGGCGUAAAGCGUGCGCAGGCGGUUAUGUAAGACAGUUGUGAAAUCCCCGGGCUCAACCUGGGAACUGCAUCUGUGACUGCAUAGCUAGAGUACGGUAGAGGGGGAUGGAAUUCCGCGUGUAGCAGUGAAACGCGUAGAUAUGCGGAGGAACACCGAUGGCGAAGGCAAUCCCCUGGACCUGUACUGACGCUCAUGCACGAAAGCGUGGGGAGCAAACAGGAUUAGAAACCCUGGUAGUCCCAUG